rnacentral:rRNA from 1 species
AACCUCCGCAAUGUGAGAAAUCGCGACGGGGGGAUCCCAAGUGCCAUUCUUAACGGGAUGGCUUUUCAUUAGUGUAAAGAGCUUUUGGAAUAAGGGCUGGGCAAGACCGGUGCCAGCCGCCGCGGUAACACCGGCAGCUCUAGUGGUAGCAGUUUUUAUUGGGCCUAAAGCGUCCGUAGCCGGUUUAAUAAGUCUCUGGUGAAAUCCUGUAGCUUAACUGUGGGAAUUGCUGGAGAUACUAUUAGACUUGAGACCGGGAGAGGUUAGAGGUACUCCCAGGGUAGAGGUGAAAUUCUGUAAUCCUGGGAGGACCGCCUGUUGCGAAGGCGUCUAACUGGAACGGUUCUGACGGUGAGGGACGAAAGUUAGGGGCGCGAACCGGAUUAGGAUACCCGGGUAGUCCUAACUGUAAACGAUGCGGACUUGGUGUUGGGGUGGCUUUGAGCUGCUCCAGUGCCGAAGGGAAGCUGUUAAGUCCGCCGCCUGGGAAGUACGGUCGCAAGACUGAAACUUAAAGGAAUU